AGCAGCUACACUCAAAAAAUGGGUUUUGUAGCACUGUUCAUUAUACACAAAUAUAUUUAGUUACAUUAACACAUACACAUUUAUUUUUAAGACAAAAUACAAGUGUAAUGUGUUAUGCUAAAUCAAUUUGUUAUUCACUCUGGUUUACCUAAAUACCUAUCUUUAAACUAAAGUAAUUGGUUUACUUUGCGAUAGAGAGUAGACCUAUUAUCAGGUUCAUAUUCCGGAACAGAGGGGGCGGUAAUGCUCCAUUAAGCUGGUUACCAACCGCCGGUAAAAAAGAAAGAAGAAGAAGAAGAAGAAUUUUUUUCAAACUAAAGGAUGUGACGUCAUUUUAACGACUUCCACGAAGACGGCGCGCAGGUGACGGUGUGGUAAGUAAACUAAAUACGUUUAUUCUUCAAUCCAUCUUAAAACAUUGUUGAGGCAACUUUAUUUUAUGUUUAAGGCGAUGGUGUUUGUUUUUGAUGGUGAUGAUUUCACGUCAUUUGUGCAGCAGUGAGUCAUACCACAAUGACUUCUCCAGUCUGGCUAAAAGUUACAAAAGGUGAUCCUUCAGUAUGCCAUUCCUACUUCAGUGAGUGACCUGUCAAAGGAAAUAGAAAAACAAUGUAAUCUACAAGGACAUUUAAGGCUGCAGUUCAUGGAUUCUGACUUGGGCAAUUAGUUUUUAAAUCUCAUGUACACAUCUGAAAUUCAAGACAAAAGUACACUAAAGGUGGUAUUCCUGACAACACCAAGUGAUUGUGACAACUUGCCCCCACCACAACUGAACAGUUCUCAAAAGGAGUACCUGCUCAUCACCAGCUCUUUCAUUUUCAUCCUGUGACACAGUCAUUUUGUCAACCCAAUCUACAUCAUUAAGCUCUGACUGUGUUGCAAAAGUGUGUCUUGCCAAAUAUAUAACCAAACUGAGAAAAAUUGGCUGUAAUGAAGUGAAAUUAAAUUUACUCAAGCCCAAACCAGCUGGAAUUUCCAGUGCUGUUUACCAUAUAUAUAUAAAAAAAACAUGCAAUGCUGAGGUGAACUACUGCCCUCACCAUCCACAAACGGAGACAUUCAAAACACUGGAAGUAGUCAGUUUAAUACUUCUGUCUGAAAUUAAAAAGAACAAUAAGAAAACAUUAUGAAUGCUGAUGGACAAGACCUUUUCUAUCAGGAGACAUGAGGUUGUCAAGGAAUCGCCUUCAAUAGCAGAUUUCAAAACUAGAUGGCCUGCUCUUUUCAGAAGGGAAGAGAUUUGUGCACAGUUUAAAAGAAUCACAACAGCCACAUUGGUGUCUACAUACUUGGCGAAGAUGAAUCCAUAUUCUGCAAAGCUUAUAAGGAUCUAUGCAAAACGAGGAGUCGUCAAUGGACAGAGAAUUAAAAACCUGCUGGUCUCCACAACACGGACUGACAACAUUGAUCAGACUCGGAUCUUUCUUUGUCUACCUGAAUGAAGACCCGACCAGUCUAAUUAAAGAGUAUUUGGAAACAGAUGCACCCAGUACCCAGGAGGCGAUCCAGAAGAUGGUAAUGGGAGUGCUUGUUGUAAAAAUGUAUGGUUCAGACAUCGAAGACAGCCCAGCAGAUGUUGGAGUGUUAUUAAAGGGAUUAAGAGUUCUCGGACCUCAACAACAUUGUGUAUGCAACAACCAUGCUGAUGGGACUGAAAUAUGAACUGAACUUGAGCUACUUUCCCAAAUUCAGGUACACUUUUGAAGUAUUGCAGUUGUUGUUUCUGGAGCUAGAUGGGAAGUAACUAUCUCAUAAAGUUCAGACGCUGAAGACCAAGCCUUUUGCAGAUGUUUUGAGAAAGGAAUGUUUUAAUAUUUCAUAUGUAAAUGCCAUGUUUUUGAAAUGGCAGUACAAUAACAUUCAGGAAGUAAGCAGUGUCGUCAAUUUAUUUUGAUAGUUUUGCAGUGUGUUUCUAUUUAAUUAGAUUAAUGUAGAGUUGUUUAAAGCUUUGGCUGUACGUAAAUGGUCCUGCAUCUAAUUUGUCAUGGAAUGUUAACGUUUAUAAUGUUUUUACAGUACCAUUUAACUUAAAAUUAUACCAAAGUUGUUGAAAAAUCUUUGGAAGUCGCAUGUGCCAGCUCUCUGAAUGGAGAGCAACCUAUUUUGUCAGUUAGCAUUACAGUUGUGUAAUAAUGUUGUUUAAUUAUACGUAUCCGGGGGCUUGAAAAAACUGCCUGAAUGGUGCUUCGUGCAUUUCAUUUGUCAGUAAGUGUAAAAAAUUGUAAUGUUAUAAGGUUACAUUGUAAUAUCCAAAGUCCUUGAAAAACUUUGCAAGUUUUUCAAGUUGAUGAGUGCAUCUCAUUUGUCGGUAUAUCCUUUACGGUAUCUGUAGUUUAAGUGCAAUAAACAUGGCUUGAAGAACUGGUGUCUGAGAAU